rnacentral:rRNA from 1 species
AUUGAACGCUGGCGGCAGGCCUAACACAUGCAAGUCGAACGAGGGGCGGACGGGGUGUUGAUGUCUGGGAAAGUGCCUGAUGGAGGGGGAUACCUACUGGAAACGGUAGCUAAUACCGCAUACCAUCGGCUGUGCCCAGAUGGGAUUAGCUGGUGGGUGGGGUAACGGCUCACCUAGGCGACGAUCCCUAGCGGGUCUGAGAGGAUGACCCGCAAUACUGGAACGGAGAAACGGCCAGGACUCCUACGGAAGGACGCGGGGGGGAUUAUUGCACAAUGGGCGAAAGCCUGAUGCAGCAAUGCCGCGUGUAGGAAGAGGGCUUACGGUUGGUAAAGUACUUUCAGCGAGAAGACGUUACUCGCAGAAGAAGCACCGGCUAACUCCGUGCCAGCAGCCGCGGUAAUUC